rnacentral:rRNA from 1 species
GUCUAUGGCUGUGCCACCCUGAACGGGCCCAAUCUCGUCUGAUCUCAGAAGCUAAGCAGGGUCGGGCCUGGUUAGUACUUGUAUGGGGGACCACCUAGGAAGGCCAGGAGCUGUAGGUG